UACGUAGGGGCCGAGCGUUGUCCGGAGUUAUUGGGCGUAAAGCGCGCGCAGGCGGCCUCGCGCGCCCGACGUGAAAGCCCCCGGCUUAACCGGGGAGAGUCGUUGGGGACGGCGGGGCUUGAGGGCGGGAGAGGUCGGUGGAAUUCCCGGUGUAGUGGUGAAAUGCGUAGAGAUCGGGAGGAACACCUGUGGCGAAGGCGGGUUGCUGGGCUGACACUGACGCUGAUGUGCGAAAGCUAGGGGAGCGAACGGG
rnacentral:rRNA from 1 species